rnacentral:misc_RNA from 1 species
GAUGAAGAAGCAGCGAAAUGCGAUACUUGGUGUGAAUUGCAGAAUCCCGUGAACCAUCGAGUCUUUGAACGCAAGUUGCGCCCGAAGCCACUAGGCCGAGGGCACGCCUGCCUGGGCGUCACACGCCGUUGCCCCCCCAUCUACUCCUUCGGGAUUGCGGGGGGGCGGAUGAUGGCCUCCUGUGCGCCUAGCCGCGCGGUUGGCAUAAAUACCAAGUCCUCGGCGACGCACGCCACGACAAUCGGUGGUUGCGAAACCUCGGUUGCCCGUCGUGUGCGUUCGUCGCGCAUCGAGGGCUCGAAAAAAUGCUCGGCUCCGGCUGGGCUUUCAACGCGACCCCAGGUCAGGCGGGGUUACCCGCUGAAUUUAAGCAUAUCAAUAAGCGGAGGA